GCUCCCAUAUUUCAACAGUUAGAAUACCGAUCUUAUAAGUCGGAGACCCGGGGGCGGCACCCGGUGGGAGUA
rnacentral:tRNA from 1 species